UACUGCAUUUUUUCUUACACAUGUGUUUUUCUUUUUUUGAAAACUUUGCUUUGGUAGGGGUCGUAUGGGGCCUGCCAGAGAUUAAACUCAACCAAAUUUUAUUUAAUGUCAACCGAUUAUUUAAUAGUCAAAACUUUCAACAACGGAUCUCUUGGUUCUCGCAUCGAUGAAGAACGCAGCGAAAUGCGAUAAGUAAUAUGAAUUGCAGAUAUUCGUGAAUCAUCGAAUCUUUGAACGCACAUUGCGCCCUUUGGUAUUCCAAAGGGCAUGCCUGUUUGAGCGUCAUUUCUCCCUCAAACCCUCGGGUUUGGUGUUGAGCGAUACGCUGGGUUUGCUUGAAAGAAAGGCGGAGUAUAAACUAAUGGAUAGGUUUUUUCCACUCAUUGGUACAAACUCCAAAACUUCUUCCAAAUUCGACCUCAAAUCAGGUAGGACUACCCGCUGAACUUAAGCAUAUCAAUAAGCGGAGG
rnacentral:rRNA from 1 species